UACGUAGGGGGCAAGCGUUGUCCGGAAUCAUUGGGCGUAAAGAGCGUGUAGGCGGCCCGGUAAGUCCGCUGUGAAAGUCCAGGGCUCAACCCUGGGAUGCCGGUGGAUACUGUCGGGCUCGAGUCCGGAAGAGGAGUGUGGAAUUCCUGGUGUAGCGGUGAAAUGCGCAGAUAUCGGGAGGAACACCAGCGGCGAAGGCGGCACUCUGGGCUGGAACUGACGCUGAGGAGCGAAAGCGUGGGUAGCAAACAGG
rnacentral:rRNA from 1 species